rnacentral:lncRNA from 1 species
GGGGAGGCUUCAGUGUCAAUCUGGCAGCUGGAGAUACUACUAUCUAUUGCAAUUUUAUUUUUAUCUGGCAUUUGCUCUGUGUUCCGCUUUGUUUGUUAGACUACAUUGUUGUUGAACUAUAUGGUUGUACCUUCGGUUUACUCUGCACUUGUGCGGAGCGGAGUCGAAUUUUGUUUGAUGGUGUUAUUAAUGUAUUUGAACGGGCCGCUUGUUUUCCUUUUUGUGAAAUGUUUUGAUACUGUGAUAUUGCACCUUGGUCUGGAACCUGUGAGUUUCAGUAAUUUCAACGUGCACCCCCUCAGCAUUGUCUGGCCCCAGUGCUUGCGGUUGGUAAAUGGCAAGUGCUAGCUGUUUCUCAAGAGGAACUUAAUCAUACUUGGUGAGUUAUCUAGUCUGGUGAAAUAACUUGGUAGGGUUUUGACCCCUCUUGUUGUUUUAAAACUUAACAACUCUGCAUGUUCUACUGCGAGUUGUAACUUUAUUCUUUCUAUACUCACUUGGAUACAAGGCAUACAACAGUGCAUGACAAAGUUCCCAGUCUAGACAAAGUUAUUAGUUUGUAAGUAUGUUAUUUAUGUGACUAUUCCUAACAGUGCAUAUUCACUAAAUUUCAGCAAACCACAUGUGUUUAAAUCCCAGUCUAGACAACUUUGUCAUGAACUAAAUUUCCCAGUCUAGACAAAGGCAUACAACAGUGCAUAUUCCUAACAGCUGAAACUAUAAGUACUAUAGCAUCUACGGUUAUAUGUCACACAUGUGGUUUUGCAUAAUUUGCUAUGUUUAUAAUCCAGCUAGCUAUUUCAGUUCCGAACCGUAUUAGUUAUGCAGCCAGCAAUUCUCGGUUAACUAAAAGGUCAGCAAAACACAAACUGUGCCACCAACUGUCAGAGUGCUCAACCAGCUGCAUCCGAGGCCUAGCCUUUGUAGGCUGCUCGCUUCUUAUGAAAAAACAACCUCAGUGCAAGUGCCAAUGGGUUCGAAAAAGAAAAGCAUGACCAAAUAGGUUGCACCAACACUGAAUAUGAAACAUAAGUGUGACUUCAUAAGACACGUAAAAUAGCAUUGAAAUGGAAUCAAUGUUAGUAUGCAAGCACGUACCUUAGUGUAGAGCUUUGAAGCGCCAAGGUAGUCAUUUCUCUUAACUGCCUCUUUUCCUUGAGAUUUCAGCAUGGCUACUUUAUUGUUGAUCUUGUUACAAGACUCUUCCUAAAUCAUGAACAUAAAUUAGGGGAAAAUAAGGUUAGACUUCAAAAUGACAUCACGAGGAGCAGCAAUUCUGGAAAAAUGGCACACCAGCAGAUCACUGAAAAUAGUAAUGAUUUCAGUCAUUGGAAUAUUUAAAUAUUUUCAAUGCUUGCAGAGGACUGCAACAGAGUUUCUCACUUAUUUAAUGCUAGGAGACGUUGUUUCUUGAGACCAGGCAACACCAGUUGUCAUGAAAAACUUAAUAGCACACAUGCAGGUGAAAAAUACUCUUUGCCUUUUGAACGUUUUGAAUGUCAGGACAGGCAACUGGGACAGGCUGUCAUGGCCAACCAGUGGCAGCCUAGGGGCACAAGUGCAGAUAUCACCGGAUUGUAGCAGGAACGGAGGAUGCAACCAGAGUUGGGGAUAAGGGAGUUAUUUGAAUCAAGUGCUGCAAUGGAGUAUUCCCUGGGAGUGUUAUUUGUUGAAAUUCUUAAUGUCAUUUUCAAGUCAAGUGUGUAAUUUGUGAUAUUAUACCUCUAAAUAAACAUAACUAGUAAGUUGCCCAUGUAUUGCUACAGAACAAUAAAUAUGCUACAACAGGUGAAUGAUAUCAUAUCAUGUAUUUCAGGGUGAUGAAAGAAAUAUAUAAAGGGCACGACAAGUUUUGUCUUUAGCUAUGUAACUCGAACUACUGGCAUCAAUUUAAAAGGGUAAUAAAGUGGACAACUGCACACUUUAACAACGUUUGUGCGGUGUGAACGGCAUGUUAUGCCUCCUCUACAUCCGGCAUCAACUUAGAUAAGAAUAAUAGUAUUAGGAUAUUCACAAUAUCGACCUUUUAUACAUAGAGUGAAGAGAUGUACAAAUACAUUGGUCAAACGGAUGUACUCCCUCUGUCCCAAAAUAAGUGUCUCAACCUUUUAUACAUAGAGUGAAGAGACACUUAUUUUGGGACGGAGGGAGUAUUAUUUUUGUUAGGAGUGCGCUGGUUUGGAGAGGUUAAGAAGAGAUGUUUCGUAACAAUGGACCUACACAUGCACCAACUUAUGUUCUUAUAUAACAAUUUAGAGUAGAGUUGCAUAGAUAGUUCAUAGUUCCAAUCAUGUCUUGCUCUCACCUCACCUAUUACUCCUCAGUGAUCACCCUCCAUGAGUUCUUUCAUUCAGUUUCCUUCCUCCUAUCACCAUCUGCCCUCCAGAUUUAUUUUCAGCGCUCAUCCCCCNNNNNNNNNNCGGGUCUCCUCCAUUCUCCACUCUUCUCUGGUGCUGCUAUGCCAACACCCGGUUCCAGCAUAUCUCUCGGCCAUAUAUAUUAUUUUCAUCUUCUCUAUCUUUGAUUAAUAUCCACUAGGUUCAUGUGGGAGACAUGCAGCAAUGGUGACAUUCACCCCCAACCCCUCCCCCUCCCCCUAUUUUUGUCAAUUUGAAGCCUAUGCACAGAAGUUUGUAAUAAAGGUGGAGGGGCAUAUAAACAAUCAUAGAAAUGUAUAAUGAUUUGAGAACUUUCAAGUCAAGUCAAACCUUAGAAAUUGAGCAUCUUGACUUCUCGUGAGCAAUAAUUCCUUCCACAGUCCAGUUUGCCAUUGCUCUGAUGGGAGAAGUGAAAGGAAAUAGAAUCUCCACAUGGCUUCUUCUUCCAGAACUUGCAGCAAUUUGUAUUGGCAUCCGGCCAUGCUGUGAAGUAACAAAACAAAGAAGAUACACUUAAUGGAAAGAACAUAUUUCAAUAUGCCACAUCAGCAAACUUAAUAGCUUGAUUAACAAGGAUAUGGUGGAAGGGAUUUUCCAUUGGAAUAUAUUCAUCAAGAGAAUUCAUUAAGUUCUGCUAAGUGCUGAUUAUAACAUACAAAGAAAAUAAAAAGAUAGUUACAAUACAGCAUCGUGAAAACAAGCAAUUCCAUGUGAACCCAACAUGGGUGUGCGCAAUGUGUAGACAGAUAUAAUCAUACACGUGCAACUCUAUGCCACAAGCACGCACCCGUGGACUGUGCAUAAAAAAUAUACCAUAUGCAUUAGAUUUCCCACCACGGUAAGAACAGCAAGAAAUUAGGAAGAACAAAAGUUCACCUGUUCAUCUGGAAUGUUAGGAUCCGCGCCAGCCUCCAGCAAGUACUUAAUGCAGUCAGCCAAACCAACCGUAGUUGCCACCACCAAGGGAGUACUUGGAUGAGCAGAAUUCACAUCAGCGCCAGCCUGUGUACCCAUAUUAUGCAAAGCAAAAUGCCAUGCACACAGCAGAUCAUAUAACUAGAGGGAUCAACUAACAAAACAACCUAUAUUACUCUACAAUAACAAAUCGGUUCCUGCCUAAUCAUAAGAUGUAAGGAAAAAAAGCAAACAGGAUACCAGACCUUUGACAAGUAGCUUCACACAUUCCAAUGAAUCAGAUUCACUCACUCCAUGUUUAGUACAAUGAAGAGCCGUAACAAGAGGGGUACCUGAAACUUCUGAAACCUUGUUUGGCUACAAAUUUAAGAGAACAAAAUCACUUCCUACAUAAAAGUGACAUAAUUCAACAGGUCACAGCAAUACAACUACAGAUACAACAAGAACAUAAUAAUACACAGGUCACACGUUUCGACUGUAUACAGCAGCAUAAUAUGUAACUCAUAUUCGUGCACUCUGUAUUACCUGAGAUUGCCAAAACAAAACAAAAAACCUAAAUUUGGUACUCCCUCCAUCUAGGUGUGUAAGUCAUCUUACGAUGUGCACCGCGACCAAGGCGGAGAGGAAAACAAGAAAACUUAAUGUUUUUUUGCUAAUUAAUAGCAUUGCAUGCAAUGAACUAACCACUGCAUGAUCACCAUAUUCUACCAGAUCAUCAUCAUCACUAUCCUCUUCAUUGUCCAUCACUGCCGCUUUCCUGUUCAAACAAGUCUCCUUCGCUCUUUCCUUCUUGUUCUUCCUAAACAUUUCAAUUUCAUUUCUCCUUUUCUCCUCCAUUUCUUGCUCUAUUAACAGUUGCUCCUCUGAAUUGUCAGUCACAUGGUAUUCUUUCACUACUGCAUCACCUAAAGCAGGUUCCAGGCUCACAUUUAUUCUGCUCUGCUGUGUGUCAAACUGCAAGGGCACUGGCUCUUGUUCUCCUCCUGCAUCACAACUCUCAGCUUCUACAUGCACAUUUUCAGCAUUGAACAACACUCCUUCAUCAUCAAUCUGAUACAGUUUGGGCUCUCCAAUUUGUUCUAUUGGGGUCUGCAUCUCAAUGACAUUAACACUGGUAUUUAUAUUGGGAACUUUCUCUGCACUGGCCCUAACUAUUGUCACAUUCAAUAUCUUGUUAUUCUGCUCUGCUAUGUGGUCUAAAAUUUCCUCUAACUUAUCAUCAUCAUCAUCUAUUUCUUCCAUUCCUUCAAUCCCUAGCCCAGGGUCCCUCACAUAAUACAUAUAAUCUCUAAAACCAUACCCUUCUGUCUCCAUAAGUGCUACCAAAUUGUAAUAUGUGAUGUCUGACAUCAUCAUACUCCUUUCAAUAUUAUCUCUGUCAUGAAAAUGCAUCCUCAAUUCCCAAACCUCAUCUUCAAGACUGCAAAUAAUAAUACAAUAGUGCACUAUAAGUACUUAAGGAAAACUCUGCACUUGUGCGGAGCGGAGUCGAAUUUUGUUUGAUGGUGUUAUUAAUGUAUUUGAACGGGCCGCUUGUUUUCCUUUUUGUGAAAUGUUUUGAUACUGUGAUAUUGCACCUUGGUCUGGAACCUGUGAGUUUCAGUAAUUUCAACGUGCACCCCCUCAGCAUUGUCUGGCCCCAGUGCUUGCGGUUGGUAAAUGGCAAGUGCUAGCUGUUUCUCAAGAGGAACUUAAUCAUACUUGGUGAGUUAUCUAGUCUGGUGAAAUAACUUGGUAGGGUUUUGACCCCUCUUGUUGUUUUAAAACUUAACAACUCUGCAUGUUCUACUGCGAGUUGUAACUUUAUUCUUUCUAUACUCACUUGGAUACAAGGCAUACAACAGUGCAUGACAAAGUUCCCAGUCUAGAC